AAAAUACAUCAAUUUGAUAUAAACCAUCUGAUAAACGCAAUCUACUAGGUCGGACCAAACCGAGACAGUAUUAGAUUAAAUAUGUCAAAUAGAAAAUAACAAACAAACGUAGAUGUCCGAACUGAUCGACCAGAUCAACUCAAGAUAUAGAAGUAACUCAAGCUGAAACUAAUACGAUAACUAGCAAUUGCCAACUAGAUUAGAAGAUCGGAUCGAAACAAGACAGUUCUAAUCUAGCCAAUGCGAUUACCGUGGUCGGCGGAACGUAGGACUUACCCCUCCACCGAAGAUCGAGACGAUGCAGCCCUGCAUCAGGUGCCAUGUUUCGCCGGUGUUGAAACCUCGAUGAAGAGGGUGGCGAUGCGCCGAUAGUAAUUGAUCUAUGUAUUGAGAAGUAGAUGAUUUAUAAUGAUCCUGGGCAUACAUAUUUAUACCCUCGGAUGGAUGCUAGUUCAUGUUGGAUACGGCAUACGACCCUAAAUGGAUAAAAAGAAAUAACAAACUAGUGCUAUGUGGACUCUAUCUCUAACUCCUACUAGAUAAAACACACAAGUCCCAAUUGGACCCUAACUCUCUUAGAGAUAAAGGAAAAAUCUAAACUAACUCUAAUUAAUACAUAAAAUUAUGCUGCCAUGCCUUGGUCUUCACGAUUCCCUGUUGAACUCGAACUCUUCUGGAUAAAAUUUCUAUCGGUGAUUGCACCUUUCUUUAUCUGAAUCCAAUAUGAAAAUUUGUCAAAUUUUUAUGUUAACAGACCGAGGAGAGGAAUAUUUCUCUCAGAUCUGGAUCCAACUCAUCCCACCAAAACAGUUGGACGGAGUCAUCCCAGGAUGGUUCGGCGACGCACAGAGGACAGAUCCAUCCCACUAAACCGAUGAAUUUGUUUAUGAUAAAACACAAAUUAAGAUAAAUCUUGUUGCACUGCAUGUGCAUAUGUGAUAUUUAUGGUGAAACGUUCAUUUUAUUUUAUUAAAAUUAUUUAAUAUAUAACUAUACAUUUAAUUACUUUAGAUUAUUCAUAUAUAUAUAUUAAUCAUAUUAUUUAAUAUUUUAUUUUGGAUAUAAGAGGUAAUCUCACCAACUCAUUGUGAAGAUGUAAUCACAUCCAAUCAUCCCGCAUUCAUCUUUUGAACCAAA
rnacentral:lncRNA from 1 species